UCCCUGCAGGACUAGGGGUUAGGCCAUGGUGCUUUUACUGCCACGGCCCGGGUUCGAUUCCCAGCCAGGGAU